rnacentral:misc_RNA from 1 species
AGUUUUUUUUUUUUUUAAUCAAAGCCAAUCAAGUUAAAUAGCAACAUAUUUAAAUCUUUCAUGUGUCAAAAUGUCUCAUCAUUUAUUGAACCUUCAGCCAUAAAUAGAAAAAACAGAGGUUCACCCAGUAACAAUGAAAGUAAUUUCCCUGAAGUUUACGAGAGACCUGUUCACAUGGGCAACAGGCCCCUGCUUUUUUCAUCAGGUUUAAGAACCAAAUCUAAAGAAAAAUAUCACCAAUCAGUUAUUUAAACUUUAAGAAUCCUACGAAAGCAAAACAAAACAAACUCAUACAUCCAUCCACCCAGUAUAACCACAUUAAAACACAACAAAAACUAGAAAGUAGACAAAACUUGAUUUUAAAGAAGAGAUCAGAUAAACAUACCUUGAAAUGUACUCUGAGGUCAGAGCCUCUGGCCUUGCAGGACUUGGUGGA